UACGUAGGGUGCGAGCGUUAAUCGGAAUUACUGGGCGUAAAGAGUGCGUAGGCGGUUUCUCAAGUCCGCUGUGAAAUCCCCGGGCUCAACCUGGGAAUGGCAGUGGAAACUAGGAGACUUGAAUCUGGCAGAGGGGGGUGGAAUUCCGACGUGUAGCAGUGAAAUGCGUAGAGAUGUGGAGGAACACCGAUGGCGAAGGCAGCCCCCUGGGCUGAGAUUGACGCUCAGGCACGAAAGCGUGGGGAGCAAACAGG
rnacentral:rRNA from 1 species